GAAAUGCGAUAAGUAAUGUGAAUUGCAGAAUUCAGUGAAUCAUCGAAUCUUUGAACGCACCUUGCGCUCCUUGGUAUUCCGAGGAGCAUGUCUGUUUGAGUGUCAUUAAAUUCUCAACCCCUCUAGGGGGGCUUGGAUGUGGGAGUUUGCUGGUCCUUAUCACAAAGGUCAGCUCUCCUGAAAUACAUUAGCGGAACCGUUUGCAGUCCCCGUCACUAGUGUGAUAAUUAUCUACACUGUGAAUAGAUUGCUCUCUGACUAGUUCAGCUGCUAAUCGUCCASUAUGGACAACGGAUUUGAACGUGUUGACCUCAAAUCAGAUAGGACUACCCGCUGAACUUAA
rnacentral:rRNA from 1 species